UAUCACUAUAACCGAGGCUUUCGUUAUAUUCACUCGCCUGUCUGUCCAGAAGCUCGUUGCGCUCUAUGAGGUCAGUUUCCAUACGGCUCUGUACCGAACGAGAACACAAAUCAGCACCAUUCCUUUCUGCUAUGCUGAUUAACUUGCUUGUUCGUUGAGAGACUCAUCGAAUCGAGAUUGUAAAGUCGCCAUGGCUCUAGAGAGUUCGCCAAUAUCUCUCUCAAGCUUGUCUCGGUUAGUUUCCAGCAUCUCGAUCUUUUCUACCAUCUUCAAACCCAAACUGGCCAUCAGCAAGUGCUUUGGAACAAAACUGCAUAUGUCUAAAGGAUUCACCUUGUCUUUCAAGUCCCAUUUACCUCUCAGGUCUUGUACGAGAUCAUCUGUCGUGAUCUGAUCGUCGCUCUUGUCUCUUAGACUGUUCCACGCAUUGCCCUCUGUAAGGCUGGGCGGAGUACGUUGGGUGAUGGAGGAGAUUUGCUUCCUGUGAGGUGGGAAUGGGCGAGAGAGAGCCAUACAGGGAAUCAUUGCUGGUGACGGGGGGAGGAAGGGGUAUAGAGCAGCAACGAACAAGAAAGCGAGAAACGCGCUCAGACCCUCAUCCACACACAAACAUACAAACAAAGGUCAAACAAGCUUGUAUAAUACGCAUUUAUAUUCACUUCUACAUCUAUUCACUUUCAUGCAUCAUCAUCC
rnacentral:sRNA from 1 species